GAUGAACGCUGGCGGCGUGCCUAAUACAUGCAAGUCGAGCGAACGGACGAGAAGCUUGCUUCUCUGAUGUUAGCGGCGGACGGGUGAGUAAAACGUGGAUAACCUACCUAUAAGACUGGGAUAACUUCGGGAAACCGGAGCUAAUACCGGAUAAUAUUUUGAACCGCAUGGUUCAAAAGUGAAAGACGGUCUUGCUGUCACUUAUAGAUGGAUCCGCGCUGCAUUAGCUAGUUGGUAAGGUAACGGCUUACCAAGGCAACGAUGCAUAGCCGACCUGAGAGGGUGAUCGGCCACACUGGAACUGAUACACGGUCCAGACUCCUACGGGAGGCAGCAGUAGGGAAUCUUCCGCAAUGGGCGAAAGCCUGACGGAGCAACGCCGCGUGAGUGAUGAAGGUCUUCGGAUCGUAAAACUCUGUUAUUAGGGAAGAACAUAUGUGUAAGUAACUGUGCACAUCUUGACGGUACCUAAUCAGAAAGCCACGGCUAACUACGUG
rnacentral:rRNA from 1 species